GCCACGGACAUCAAUGCUCUUCUGAGGGCAAAGGCCAAGGGGUUCCGCAACAUUGCCAAGGAUGGUGGAGUGCUCAGGUUUUGCGGUCUUCUCCAUGCCACCAUCUAUCAACUGAGCAACCUCUCCAAGUCACUGCAGAGAUCAGUGUCAAUCCUGGCUGAAGCUCAGAGGUCCUUGUCCUCCACUCAGGCUGUCAUAGAAAAGUACAGGUCAAGAUCUGGGCCUAAGCUGAGAGCAGUGCUGGACACAGACACCUUUGAGGGAGUCCUCCUGAAGCCUACUGAUGCUGACCAGCAUGACAAGGCAAAGAACGAGCUCAUUGACUCUCUGUGUCGGUGCAUCACUGCUAGAUUUAGUGAUGUGAACAGUGGUGUCCUGCAGGCUAUGCGGCUGACCAGUUUCAAGUGCUGGUCAUAAGCAGACAUGAGUUCAGAUUUUGGAGAUGGAGAGAUAAACAAACUCAUCAGUCACUUACGACCUCUUCUGCUGCAGUGGAUGUGGAGUUGAUCCCUGAUCAAUGGACAAAUCUCAAGACUGAACUGUACACAGCAGGAUUCAGCCAAGGAACCUUUGAGAAGACCUGGCCUACUGUGAACAGAAUGCUCCGCCAUUGGUGUCCUGACGUCCUUGAUCUCUUUUUUGCUCUCCUCGCCAUCCCUGCAACUACAGCUGAUUGCGAAAGAGGGUUCAGUGUGAUGAAUCAGGUAAAGAGUGACUGACUGCUCACCUGUGAGUUUGUGCACAAACAUGGAACAAACAGAACUGAGGAUACCUCAGAUUCAGAAGAACAAAUGAGUUCAGAGAGUGCUGAAGAAAUGUGAUGCGGUAGAGUUCUGAAAUUAUCA